AUUGAACGCUGGCGGCAUGCCUAACACAUGCAAGUCGAACGGCAGCAUGACGUGUAGCAAUACACGUUGAUGGCGAGUGGCGGACGGGUGAGGAAUGCAUCGGAAUCUGCCCAGUCGUGGGGAUAACGUAGGGAACUUACGCUAAUACCGCAUACGACUACGCGUUGAAAGACGCGGGGUGGAAAGCGGGGAGUCGAAGACCUCGCGCGAUUGGAUGAGCCGAUGCCGGAUUAGCUUGUUGGUGGGGUAACGGCCCACCAAGGCGACGAUCCGUAGCUGGUCUGAGAGGAUGAUCAGCCACACUGGGACUGAGACACGGCCCAGACUCCUACGGGAGGCAGCAGUGGGAAUAUUGGACAAUGGGCGCAAGCCUGAUCCAGCCAUGCCGCGUGAGUGAUGAAGGCCUUAGGGUUGUAAAGCUCUUUCACCCACGACGAUAAUGACGGUAGUGGGAGAAGAAG
rnacentral:rRNA from 1 species